rnacentral:misc_RNA from 1 species
UUUCCGUAGGUGAACCUGCGGAAGGAUCAUUAUUGUAUAACCGAGGUGCGAGGGCUGUCGCUGACCCGAAAGGUCGUGCACGCCCGAGUGCCCUCACACACAUCCAUCUCACCCCUAUGUGCACCACCGCGUGGGUCGCCCUUUGGCUUGUUCGGAGGGGGGCUUACGUUUUCACACAAACUUUGUAUGCAGUGUAGAAUGUAUUUUUUGUUUUUGCGAUCACGCAAUCAAUACAACUUUCAACAACGGAUCUCUUGGCUCUC